rnacentral:rRNA from 1 species
AUUGAACGCUAGCGGCAUGCCUUACACAUGCAAGUCGAACGGCAGCGGGGGAGCUUGCUCCCGCCGGCGAGUGGCGAACGGGUGAGUAAUACAUCGGAACGUACCCAGUAGCGGGGGAUAGCCCGGCGAAAGCCGGAUUAAUACCGCAUACGCCCUACGGGGGAAAGGGGGGGGAUCGCAAGACCUCUCACUAUUGGAGCGGCAGAUGGCUGAUUAGCUAGUUGGUGGGGUAAAGGCCUACCAAGGCGACGAUCAGUAGCUGGUCUGAGAGGACGACCAGCCACACUGGGACUGAGACACGGCCCAGACUCCUACGGGAGGCAGCAGUGGGGAAUUUUGGACAAUGGGCGAAAGCCUGAUCCAGCAAUGCCGCGUGUGCGAAGAAGGCCUUCGGGUUGUAAAGCACUUUUGUCAGGGAAGAAAUCGUUUGGGUUAAUACCCCGAGCAGUUGACGGUACCUGAAGAAUAAGCACCGGCUAACUACGUGCCAGCCGCCGCGGUAA